rnacentral:rRNA from 1 species
UCUACGGGAGGCAGCAGUGGGGAAUAUUGGGCAAUGGGCGCAAGCCUGACCCAGCAACGCCGCGUGAAGGAAGAAGGCUUUCGGGUUGUAAACUUCUUUUCUUAGGGACGAAGAAAGUGCCGGUACCCGAGGAAUAAGCCACUGCUAACUACGUGCCAGCAGCCGCGGUAAUACGUAGGUGGCAAGCGUUAUCCGGAUUUACUGGGUGUAAAGGGCGUGUAGGCGGGAAAGCAAGUCAGAUGUGAAAACCAUGGGCUCAACCCGUGGCCUGCAUUUGAAACUGUUGUUCUUGAGUACUGGAGAGGUAGGCGGAAUUCCUGGUGUAGCGGUGAAAUGCGUAGAUAUGAGGAGGAACACCAGUGGCGAAGGCGGUCUGCUGGACAGUAACUGACGCUGAGGCGCGAAAGCGUGGGGAGCAAACAGGAUUAGAUACCCGUGUAGUC